UCAGCUUGAAAAAUGGGGCCUUCGGCUUUGAAUUGUAAUUUUGAAAUGUAUUGCCAAUGGAGGCGCAGGUGCAAGCCUAUUGAAAGAAAGCGUCAAUGAGGGUGAGAUUCCUUUUUGUCAUUUGCAGUCCUCCGUGCACGGUAUAUAUUUGACGAGUCACACUCCUCGGCAUUGGAAUGCAAAGUGGGUGGUAAAUUCCAUGUAAAGGUAAAUAUAUUAUUGAGACUGAUAGCAAACAAGUACCAUGAGGGAAAUAUGAAAAGGACUUUGAAAAGAGAAUUAAAAGAGUCUGCAUUUGCUGAACAGAAAGCAAACAGAAUUGAUCUUGCCUGGUGAGAUUGUUGCGUCUACUUCUGCAUUUCUAUGUUGGAUGUGGGUGCGAUGGUUCUUGCCUUGAAUGUCAGCUUCUUUUUCUGCAAAUCAUUACCCUUGCACAUGAAUGGUAAUUUGCCUGCGGGUAUUGGAAUGCAUGUGUUUGCCAUGAUUUGUGAUUUGAUACAUGUGUCUGGUGGUACUUGUGUGUGUUCCUUUGUCAAAGGGGAAGGUUUGCUUCCUUGAGCACCACAAGCCCUUGCACAAUGUUGCUGGCAAAAUGUUUCUGCUUGACCCGUCUUGAAACACGGACCAAGGAGUCUAACAGAUGUGCAAGCUCGUGGGUGGGCAAACCUUUUUGCGCAAUGAAAGUAUUGGCUGGGAUACUUGCACCAGCAGCCGACCGAUUAGCAGACAGAGGUUUGAGUUUGAGCAUAUCUAUUAGGACCCGAAAGAUGGUGAACUAUGCC
rnacentral:rRNA from 1 species